ACACCCCAAGUUCACAUCCUCCUCAAUAGAAGUUUUGCUGUUUCAAUUAUCCCAAUCUCCUAAUUGGCUAGAUGACCUCUCAAAACACAGCUGAAACUAAUUAGUUUCAGUGUGGCCAAAACAGACCAUCUUUUUUUGUUUUUUGUUUUUUUGUUGUUGUUGUUUUUUACAUUAGGCAUUAAGAAAUCUCCAGUUGUUGAAGUCAAAGAAAAGACAUUUACUUCUGCAUAAGUUUGUUUCCCCAUCAAUUCCAAAAGCUAUUUCAUGGGCCAACUCCCAAGAAGAACUAGGAGAAAAAAAAUAUAUUUCCCCCUAUUCCAACAAAUCAGUGUUUCCUGUGAGUUCAUCAAUCCAAGUCACUUGGAGGCAAAAACCACCUCCGUUUAAUUAGCGUCUGCGGGACACUGCCUAUUUGCACGGGCUUUUCUAGCGCAGAGUGUGCGUCAGACAGGACAGGCGUUGCAGACCGACACCGUGACAACAGGUGCCUGAGCAUCUUCGCAACGAGGAACGUUUGCCAGAGCCGAGCUGUGAUUGACCAGGACGCUGUGGGCAAUUAGGAGCCUGUGCAGUGGACACAGACGGCUGAUCACCUAAUACGUGUUAAGCGCAAUACGGCGUACAAGCAACACAGGUUUGAACGCUGGCGUUAACUGCCGGGCCAAACCCCAUGGCAAGCUCUUAGUUUACCUCCACGGCCGGGAGUCCUGUCGCAACUGCAGGGAAUCCAGACAGUUGUCACCGAUGAUGAUGCUCAGUUUAGAAAAAACCUCCCUCUCAGGGCCUCUCCGCUCCCCUUAGCUCCGCUUACCACUGCCCUGCUAGCCUUCUUGGACCGUCCCAGAACCUUCCCGAAAUGCAGCCUGGCACAGCAGCCUGCAGUGCCAGCUGGGGAAGAGGCAGCAGUAGCAGGAACCUUUGCCAGCCCGGCCUUUGGGACGGCUCUGAACACAGCAGGGAGGAGCUGAAUGCAUUUCAACUGCAGCCAAGUUAGUGGUUUAAACUUCAUAAACAUGUCUUAAAUGUUAUGAUUCUUAUCUUUAUGCUAUGGCAUUCCUACCUCAAAGGAUAGCUAUUAAAGAAAAAGCACAAUUCAGCAAAUAGUUCUACGAACUUAGAUUUUUAAAAAAAGGUUGAUUAAUCAUUUUUGGUUGCUUGUCUUUCUUUUGACCUUUUCUAGACCUGUCCUCAUAACACACUCAGGAUGCUCAAUCAUUUACCAACAGGGUUAAGACAAUAUAACCUCUUUGUGAUUAAAAAUAAAAAUGAAGUGAAAUGGAGUUCUCCAUAGUUCUGUAGUUUUACUUGAUUCUGGGAUUGGAAGUGCAUUUGGAGUGACGUGCUAGACAGUUAUGUACAUCUUGACUAUGCAUGUUCACACAUCUGGGAGUCAGUUGGCUGAUCUAGGCUGAUCGAGGCUGCCCCUGGCUGGAUGACUGGAGCAAUUUGAUUUUGCCACACGUGCCUCUUGUUCUCUGGCAGACAUAUUCUCAAGGCAAUAGCAAAGGAACCAGAAAACAAGCCCUAAUGUUCGAAACCAUUUCAAGUCUUUGUAUCACAUCUGCUAAAUUCCAUGGGACAGAAGGAAUUCACAAAGACUGGUUGAGCCCAGUCUCAAGAAGUGGAGCAAGUUACCCUUAUCCACAGUAGGAGGGCACUUCAGAGUUAUAUGGUAUAGGUUGGUUAAAGGGAGAACUGAAAACAUAGGCCCAUAAUUUCAAUGUACCAUACAUAGCAGGUGAUGCUAUGCCCUAUAGGGUUAGAGUCAGUAUGAAUUAUUUGCCGAUAGUCAAGAUCCAGUACAGAUUCAAUCAUGAGGCCAAGUUUUCAAGAAAAGUGGUCACUUGGGUGACUGGUUUCAUAAUCCAAGGUAGAAGAAAUGAUUCGGCAUUAAAAGGUUGACCUCAGUUCCAUUGCACACUGUAAUCUGCUUCCCAAUCUCCCUUUGGGAAUGUGAAAGGCAUUUGUUUUGAAAAAUUCCCUCUGAAUAAGUAAACUGUCAUUAAGACUUUAGAAUGUAGUUUACUCAUUCAAAAGUAUUGAUUGAAUACACAACAAAACU
rnacentral:lncRNA from 1 species